rnacentral:rRNA from 1 species
UACGUAGGGGGCUAGCGUUGUCCGGAUUUAAUUGGGCGAAAGAGCGUGUAGGCGGCCAGGUAGGUCUGCUGUGAAAACUCGAGGCUCAACCUCGAGACGUCGGCGGAAACCAUCUGGCUAGAGUCCGGAAGAGGAGAGUGGAAUUCCGUGGUGUAGCGGUGAAAUGCGCAGAUAUCAGGAAGAACACCCGUGGCGAAGGCGGCUCUCUGGGACGGUACUGACGCUGAGACGCGAAAGCGUGGGGAGCGAACAGG